rnacentral:rRNA from 1 species
CACGUAGGGCGCAAGCGUUGUCCGGAAUUAUUGGGCGUAAAGAGCUCGUAGGCGGUCUGUUGCGUCCGCUGUGAAAACUCGGGGCUUAACCCCGAGCCUGCAGUGGAUACGGGCAGACUAGAGGUAGGUAGGGGAGAAUGGAAUUCCCGGUGUAGCGGUGAAAUGCGCAGAUAUCGGGAGGAACACCAAUGGCGAAGGCAGCUCGCUGGGACGUGACCGACGCUGAGACGCGAAAGCGUGGGGAGCAAACAGG